GUCUUCUCUGACUGAGUUUUGAUCGAUCUACUUCUACACAAUCAAAACUCCUCUUUAAUUUGAUCAAUCAAACACUAUUAAAAGGAGAAUAAGAAGCCUUGUGAAAGUGUCCACGUAAGACAUUUAAAUCAUCCAAUCAGAUGGUUUAGUUUUGCCACAUCAGAUGACUUCAAUAUUUAGGCUUAGGUGUGGGCUUCUUAUGAAUUCUAAAAAAGAGGCAACGUGACGACGGAAGUCACGAGGAUCUAUUCCUCUACCUUUUCGUCUUCUCCGACUGAGUUUUGAUCGAUCUACUUCUACACAAUCAAAACUCCUCUUUAAUUUGAUCAAUCAAUUUCUUCUUUAUGAUUUCGUUUCAUCUCCCUUUUCUCCCCUUCUUUAUAUAUUGAUCCUCUUUCUGUGUACAAAUCAAAACCCUAGAACUGAUAUAACCUCAAUCCAUGGCGAUGAAAUCAAAUGGGAAGUCCCCUGAAUCUCAACAUAUGAAUCUUCUAAAUGAAAUACAAAAUCUCUAGCCAAGUCUCCGGCGGCUCUAUUUUUCAACACCAUCACACCAGGCCUCUCCGACACGGAGUUACGCAUCAGUUUAAUCCACUUCUGGGUGUUAAGAAACAGGGGGCUACGUGUUGGCUUAGAACUGCUGCUCUGCAACAAGCAGGGCUUCAGUUCUGAAGCACUCAAUUGGAAAAUACUUAGCUGGCAGAUUCUUUGAUUGAUAUUUACACAAUCGGCAUCAAAAGCUUUCUUUGUCUCUGAAACACAUUGUACAAUUACAAGAUCGAUGCUCUACUGAAUGAGAGGGAUGGAAGACUUCUAAUGAUGGUUCUACUUUGCGGAAAUAGGAACGAGCUUCCCAUGAAUAAAGAUUGGUUUUCUGACUGGUGCUUGAAGAUAUAGCUCUGGUGUAUUGAAUUCUCUUUAUACAAGAUUUACUCUCUUAAGGAUGAUAGCAGACAAUGAUCAUGCGGUUGGAAACUCGGUAGAGAGUCGCAAAGAUGAGUCUAAGCCUCAAAACUGUUCUGAAUAGAAGUGGGAAGAUGAAAAGCUUAGGUCUCGAAAAAUAGGAAGAACAAUAACAAUGUGUGUGAGUUGUUCUAUGAUACAAGAACCAGUGAGGACUUGGCAAAAUAAAAUGAUGGAAACCAUUCUUGUGGAGAUUCUGAUGAGACUGGAAAGAAGUUUCAGUUUUAUAACAUCAAGGCUAAUAGUUCUCCUGAGAUAGUUUUCUGGUGUUUAUAAUGGACAAGUAUGUUACGGCAUAUGUAACUUGCAUAGUUUGUUACAAGGAGAACACUUAUCAUGUUGUGAAGGACAUAUGUGUUGAUGAAGGUGUGACAGUCCAGGAGAAGUUCAUAUUCGUUAAGAAUGAUUCUGUGUUUGUGCCUUUUUGGGAUUUGUAAUAUAAAGUUUAACAUAUUCUUUGAUUGUUUUUAUUUAUUUAAUUCUGUAAUCUAUGUAUGUUUAUCAAUGUUUUCGAUGUUGCUAUUUUCAUAAAAACUGAGAAGGAAAUGUUUG